rnacentral:rRNA from 1 species
UACGGAGGAUCCAAGCGUUAUCCGGAUUUAUUGGGUUUAAAGGGUGCGUAGGCGGCCUUGUAAGUCAGGGGUGAAAGACGGUAGCUCAACUAUCGCAGUGCCCUUGAUACUGCAGGGCUUGAAUACACUAGAGGUAGGCGGAAUGUGACAAGUAGCGGUGAAAUGCAUAGAUAUGUCACAGAACCCCGAUUGCGAAGGCAGCUUACUAUGGUGAAAUUUCCGCUGCGGCACGAAAUCGUGGGGAUCAAACAGG